rnacentral:rRNA from 1 species
CCUACGGGGGGCAGCAGUAGGGAAUCUUUCACAAUGGGCGAAAGCCUGAUGGAGCAACGCCGCGUGCAGCAUGAAGGCCUUCGGGUUGUAAACUGCUUUUAUAAGCGAGAAAUAUGAUGGUAACUUAUGAAUAAGGAUCGGCUAACUACGUGCCAGCAGCCGCGGUCAUACGUAGGAUCCGAGCAUUAUCCGGAGUGACUGGGUGUAAAGAGUUGCGUAGGUGGCAUAAUAAGUAGCUAGUGAAAUCUGGUGGCUCAACCAUUCAGACUAUUAGCUAAACUGUUAAGCUCGAGACCGUUAGGGGUAACUGGAAUUUCUAGUGUAGGAGUGAAAUCCGUAGAUAUUAGAAGGAACACCAAUAGCGUAGGCAGGUUGCUGGGACGGUUCUGACACUAAGGCACGAAAGCGUAGGGAGCAAACGGGAUUAGAUACCCGAGUAGUC